UUUCGCCCCCAGUGAUGGCUAGAUAAGUGCCGGAGCCGGAUAAGACACUGCGCGGUUGCAACGAGGAAGCAUGUGGCAAAGAUUGUUGUAACGCGUCCGCUUUGCCGUCCCCUGAAUCGACUGAUGGCUGACCAUGAAGAGCUGGAUCUCAUUGGAAUGGACAAUGGUGCGAUCGACGACGGUUCCCGGAACAACAUUGUUGAACUUAUUUUAUUUCGAUGGAGCUCCGUUCGGAAAGAAGCGCGGAUGAUGCCGCUUAACUACAAUGACUCAGCAAAUCUUGGGUUUAAUAUGCAUCUGAAAGGAAGCGAAGGCCACAGAAAUCCCCAUCAACUCUUCAUUCUUAAUCUUGGGAAACUGUCCCUCGCUGCCACCAUCACGAUAAUAGCUAAUGUGCUCGGCAUAGGAUAUGCGGAACUGAUGAUAGACACGCAAGUGCUAUCGUUUGGUGUUCGUUAUUACACCAAAUUUCGGGCGCUUUUUUGAUGUCGUGAAGUAAAAGGCUGAGCUGAAGGAUGGCAUUCUCACACAAUGCA